AUUGAACGCUGGCGGCAGGCCUAACACAUGCAGGUCGAGCGGAUGAAGGGAGCUUGCUCCUGGAUUCAGCGGCGGACGGGUGAGUAAUGCCUAGGAAUCUGCCUGGUAGUGGGGGAUAACGUCCGGAAACGGGCGCUAAUACCGCCUACGUCCUGCGGGAGCAAGUGGGGGAUCUUCGGACCUCACGCUAUCAGAGGAGCCUAGGUCGGGCUAGCUAGCUGGUGGGGUAAAGGCCUCCUAAGCCGAGCAUCCGUAAAUGGUCUGAGAGGAAGAGCACUCGCACUGGAACGGGGACACGGUCAAGACUACUGCGGUAGGCAGCAGUGGGGAAUAUUGGGCAAUGGGCGAAAGCCUGAUCCAGCCGUGCCGAGUGUGUGAAGAAGGUCUUCGGAGUGGAAAGCCCGUUAAGGUGGUAGGAACCGCAUUAGGUUAAUACCUUGCGGUAGUGACGGUACCGGCUGAAUAAGCACCGGCUAACUUCGUG
rnacentral:rRNA from 1 species